UCGAAAAAUCGUUUCUAUUCCGUGCGAAAAUCACGUUUCCCUUCUUAUAGUUACAGCAGCGAGCGAAAGGAAUUUUAAAAUUGGAAUUUACGCACUUGAGUAUUUGUAACUUUUGUACCAAAUAGGCAGAUAUUCAAGUUGUUUCCUGUUACCUGAUUGUGUACAAAGCGGUCUUCCGACGGACGAACUUGCGUGAUAAGACGAGUAUAAUAAAUACAAGGUGAUGGGCGGUUCCCUUAUCUUCUGAUUGCGGUAGGCUCAUUUAAAAAAGAACGCUUCUCUCAAGACUAUAAAUGCACAGCAAUUUGUGGAAUUUUUUGCGCGUAUAAUUGUCGUUUCUGAAUUUG